AUUGAACGCUGGCGGCAUGCUUUACACAUGCAAGUCGAACGGCAGCGCGGGGGCAACCCUGGCGGCGAGUGGCGAACGGGUGAGUAAUGCAUCGGAACGUAUCCUGUAAUGGGGGAUAACGUAGCGAAAGUUACGCUAAUACCGCAUACGCUCGAGAGAGGAAAGUGGGGAUCGCAAGACCUCACGUUAUAGGAGCGGCCGAUGUCCGAUUAGCUAGUUGGUGGGUAAGCCUACCAAGGCGACGAUCGGUAGCUGGUCUGAGAGGAUGAUCAGCCACACUGGGACUGAGACACGGCCCAGACUCCUACGGGAGGC
rnacentral:rRNA from 1 species